rnacentral:rRNA from 1 species
UACAGAGGGUGCGAGCGUUAAUCGGAAUUACUGGGCGUAAAGCGCACGUAGGUGGCGACGUAAGUCGGGUGUGAAAGCCCCGGGCUCAACCUGGGAAUUGCAUUCGAGACUGCAUUGCUGGAGUACGGAAGAGGAAGGCGGAAUUCCCGGUGUAGCGGUGAAAUGCGUAGAUAUCGGGAGGAACAUCUGUGGUGUAGACAGCUUACUGGACCACUUCUGACGCUGAGACACGAAAGCGUGGGUAGCAAACAGG